rnacentral:rRNA from 1 species
UGGGGAAUUGUUCGCAAUGGGCGCAAGCCUGACGACGCAACGCCGCGUGGAGGAUGAAGGUCUUCGGAUUGUAAACUCCUGUUGCCCGGGACGAAUGGCUCCAACCUAAUACGUUGGAGUGUGACGGUACCGGGUGAGGAAGCCCCGGCUAACUCUGUGCCAGCAGCCGCGGUAAUACAGAGGGGGCAAGCGUUGUUCGGAAUUACUGGGCGUAAAGGGCGCGUAGGCGGCCUGUUAAGUCGAACGUGAAAUCCCCGGGCUCAACCCGGGAACUGCGUCCGAUACUGGCAGGCUUGAAUCCGGGAGAGGGAUGCGGAAUUCCAGGUGUAGCGGUGAAAUGCGUAGAUAUCUGGAGGAACACCGGUGGCGAAGGCGGCAUCC